GGUAAGAUGGCUGAGUAGAGCGGCGGAUUGUAGCUCCGCAUACAGAGGUCGAAAUCCUCUUCUUAUCA
rnacentral:tRNA from 1 species